AUCGAUGAAGAACGCAGCGAAAUGCGAUACGUAAUGUGAAUUGCAGAAUUCAGUGAAUCAUCGAAUCUUUGAACGCACAUUGCACUCUCUGGUAUUCCGGAGAGUAUGCUUGUUUGAGUAUCAGUAAACACCUCAAGUCUCUUCUCUAGAGAAGAGAAUUGGACUUGAGCAAUCCCAACUCUUUGCAAAAAGAGGCGGGUUGCUUGAAAUGCAGGUGCAGCUGGACAUUCUUCUGAGCUAAAAGCAUAUUUAUUUAGUCCCGUCAAACGGAUUAUUACUUUUGCUCUAGCUAAUAUAAAGGUCGAAUGCGCUAUAUGCUGACUGAUGCAGGAUUACCAAGUUUUACCUAGUAAAACUUGUAAACUCGAUCUCAAAUCAAGUAAGACUACCCGCUGAACUUAAGCAUAUCAAUAA
rnacentral:rRNA from 1 species